UCUUGACUAGUAUAUCGGUUAGUACACGCGCUUGUCAUCGAGGCUCUUUAUCAUCUAUUGUCGCGCGAAAGCUGGGUUCGACUCCCAGGUCGAGAG